rnacentral:rRNA from 1 species
UACGUAGGGGGCUAGCGUUGUCCGGAUUUAUUGGGCGUAAAGAGCGUGUAGGCGGCUCGAUAAGUCUGCUGUGAAAGUCCAGGGCUCAACCCUGGAAGGCCGGUGGAAACUGUCGGGCUAGAAUCCGGAAGAGGCGAGUGGAAUUCCCGGUGUAGCGGUGAAAUGCGCAGAUAUCGGGAGGAACACCAAUGGCGAAGGCAGCUCGCUGGGACGGUAUUGACGCUGAGACGCGAAAGCGUGGGGAGCAAACAGGG